rnacentral:rRNA from 1 species
GAUGAACGCUGGCGGCGUGCCUAAUACAUGCAAGUCGAGCGAACAGACGAGGAGCUUGCUCCUCUGACGUUAGCGGCGGACGGGUGAGUAACACGUGGAUAACCUACCUAUAAGACUGGGAUAACUUCGGGAAACCGGAGCUAAUACCGGAUAAUAUAUUGAACCGCAUGGUUCAAUAGUGAAAGACGGUUUUGCUGUCACUUAUAGAUGGAUCCGCGCCGCAUUAGCUAGUUGGUAAGGUAACGGCUUACCAAGGCAACGAUGCGUAGCCGACCUGAGAGAUUGAUCGGCCAAACUGGAACUGAAACACGGACCAGACCCCUACGGGAGGCAGCAGUAGGGAAACGACGGAAAUGGGCGAAAGCCUGACGGAGAAAGGCCGCGUGAUCGAUGAAGGCGUCCGGAUCGUAAAACGUUGUUAUUAGGGAAAAACAACUGUGUAAGUAACCAUGCACGUAUUGACGGUACCUAAUCAGAAAGCCACGGCUAACUACGUG